CAAGGUCGCGGAAUGCAUUCUGAGGCUCAUUUUGUUAUCUUAAGCUUUCAAUGAUUCUUUUUUUUCCAGAGUGUCACAUGAAAUGUUGAGUUUCGUCGGAUUUGUACCUUAAGGUGACGAGAUGUAUGGUACUAGAAAGGUGGAGCUUCAAUGGAAACCCAAGAGAAUUAACACAGAGUAUGGAUGGAGGGAUGACCCGUUAAUUGGAGUUUUACACGAGCUCUGCUAGUUGAAAAAGACAUUUCCCUGUCCGAGUGGGUUCGUGCAGUGUCUUCCAACCUCGAAAACCAGCCUUGAUUUUUACCUUCAAGAAAGAGGGAGGGCUUCGGCUGUCAUGAAGCUCCAUUUAUGACCUCUAAUAUAUCCGUACACUACAUACAUACGACCUUCAUUUUUCGGUGAGGAAGGAGGGGUUGUUCAUCAUGGAGUGUUUGGAGGAAUGGGGGAAACUCGCACAACACGGCAGCCCUCUCAACAAGUCUUCGUGUCCAUCUGUCAUCGAUAGGAAAAUCUGACGACCACCAGGGAUAGUCUGUUUAUGAAUCCGUCCUGAUUCAAAGACAAACUUCGAUCUCAGCUUCCAUUUAAAGUGAAUCCAAGACGUCUUCGUCGUCAUGUCGCUGUCAAUUGAGUCACGAAUAGGCCCGUUGUUGUGGGCUUGACACGGCCGAAGUUGCGUUUCGUCUCGUUCAUUUUCCCAAUUCUGUGGCUCAACAUGUCAAACAACAAGUUGUCCGGAGGAGAACAGAUCAAAUACGACCGAGGGAACGCGAACUGUUGCCACUACAACAAACAGUUCAAAAGCGAAGAAGUCUACAAGGAGUUGCUCUACGAUGGAUGGAGAGAACGAGCAAAAAUGAAACUUCUGCAUCAGGAAGCAAUAAGUCAGUGAGAAAUCCUCACUCACUUCCUCACUUGGCAGGGAUUUGAAGCCAUUUCCCUUACCUUUGUGGCUUAAAGCCAUUCCGUGGA